AAGAUUUUAAGUUAAAUUAAAACUAUUAACCUUCAAAGUUGAAAUUAUUAUUUAUUAAUAAAUCUUA
rnacentral:tRNA from 1 species